rnacentral:rRNA from 1 species
AGGACGAACGCUGGCGGCGUGCCUAACACAUGCAAGUCGAGCGAGGAGAUUCCUCGGGAUGAUCCUAGCGGCGGACGGGUGAGUAACACGUGGGCAACCUGCCUCAUAGAGAGGAAUAGCCUUCCGAAAGGGAGAUUAAUACCUCAUAACAUUGCAGUUUCGCAUGGAACAGCAAUUAAAGGAGUAAUCCGCUAUGAGAUGGGCCCGCGGCGCAUUAGCUAGUUGGUGAGGUAACGGCUCACCAAGGCGACGAUGCGUAGCCGACCUGAGAGGGUGAUCGGCCACAUUGGGACUGAGACACGGCCCAGACUCCUACGGGAGGCAGCAGUGGGGAAUAUUGCGCAAUGGGGGAAACCCUGAUGCCAGCAACGCCGCGUGAGUGAUGACGGCCUUCGGGUUGUAAAGCUCUGUCUUCAGGGACGAUAAUGACGGUACCUGAGGAGGAAGCCACGGCUAACUACGUGCCAGCCGCCGC